UUUGAUUCAAAUAUUUUAAUCUUGAGUGUCCAUGAUGAUUACCAUCUAUGCAACGCGUUUCACUUGGCACAUGGUGGAUAGUGCGCGCGUGGACAUCAGAUCUGUCACCUCAAUUAAUGAGGGAGAUCUAAUGGCCCUUGUUUUUUCUAUUUUAAUUUUAAUUUUUUAUUUUACUUUUACUCCUUCUAUUUUGUUUAAUUCAUAAAAAUUUCAUUUUUAAUCCAAUAAAUAUGGGACAUUCACCAAAAAUCUCUAAAUAUUUUUCUAUUUCAUAUUUUG
rnacentral:lncRNA from 1 species